UACGGAGGUGGCAAGCGUUGCUCGGAAUCACUGGGCGUAAAGGGUGCGUAGGCGGCGCGGUAAGUCGGGUGUGAAAUCUCGGGGCUUAACUCCGAAACUGCAUUCGAUACUGCCGUGCUUGAGGACUGGAGAGGAGACUGGAAUUUACGGUGUAGCGGUGAAAUGCGUAGAUAUCGUAAGGAAGACCAGUGGCGAAGGCGGGUCUCUGGACAGUUCCUGACGCUGAGGCACGAAGGCCAGGGGAGCAAACGGG
rnacentral:rRNA from 1 species